AAAAGACGGUCUUUCUCGCGGACUCAGUCAGUCAGCCCAUCCCCAGCCUACGGCGCAGUGAAGUCUCCAGGUGCGAGGUAGGCUCCCCCGGCUCAGCCCUCUGGAGUUGAACCGCGCGCCCCCUCCAGCCUGGAGCUGCCCUCUACCCGGUGGCCCAGCUCAGGAUUCUUUCUCGGCCAACAGAGCUCUGCUCUGAUCAGCCCAUCACCCCCUCUUGUCUUUGUGCUUCACAUAAAGCAACACCUUGACGUAGAGACUGUCCUCACACCUCAGCACCCAGGACAGAGGUCAGGGACAGAAGGUUGGCUUUAGUGCCCACCUUUCCUGUGCGGGCAAAGGCCUCGGCCACCUUGCGGUUCCGCCCUCCGUAGCAGGUAGUGAUGAGGUCAGCGACAC